rnacentral:rRNA from 1 species
GAUGAACGCUGGCGGCGUGCCUAAUACAUGCAAGUCGAGCGAACAGACGAGGAGCUUGCUCCUCUGACGUUAGCGGCGGACGUGUGAGUAACACGUGGAUAACCUACCUAUAAGACUGGUAUAACUUCGGGAAACCGGAGCUAAUACCGGAUAAUAUAUUGAACCGCAUGGUUCAUUAGUGAAAGACGGUUUUGCUGUCACUUAUAGAUGGAUCCGCGCCGCAUGAGCUAGUUGUUAAGGUAACGGCUUACCAAGGCAACGAUGCGUAGCCGACCUGAGAGGGUGAUAGGCCACACUGGAACGGGGACACGGUCAAGACUCCUACGGGAGGCAGCAGUAGGGAAUCUUCCGCAAUGGGCGAAAGCAUGACGGAGCAACGCCGCGUGAGUGAUGAAGGUCUCCGGAUCGUAAAACUCUGUUACUAGGGAAGAACAAAUGUGUAAGUAACUAUGCACGUAUUGACGGUAACUAAUCAGAAAGCCACGGCUAACUACGUG